rnacentral:rRNA from 1 species
ACGAUGAACCACUUCGGUGGGGAUUAGUGGCGAACGGGUGAGUAACACGUGGGCAAUCUGCCCUGCACUCUGGGACAAGCCCUGGAAACGGGGUCUAAUACCGGAUAUUGACCUUCACGGGCAUCUGUGAGGUUCGAAAGCUCCGGCGGUGCAGGAUGAGCCCGCGGCCUAUCAGCUUGUUGGUGAGGUAAUGGCUCACCAAGGCGACGACGGGUAGCCGGCCUGAGAGGGCGACCGGCCACACUGGGACUGAGACACGGCCCAGACUCCUACGGGAGGCAGCAGUGGGGAAUAUUGCACAAUGGGCGAAAGCCUGAUGCAGCGACGCCGCGUGAGGGAUGACGGCCUUCGGGUUGUAAACCUCUUUCAGCAGGGAAGAAGCGAAAGUGACGGUACCUGCAGAAGAAGCGCCGGCUAACUACGUGCCAGCAGCCGCGGUAAUACGUAGGGCGCAAGCGUUGUCCGGAAUUAUUGGGCGUAAAGAGCUCGUAGGCGGCUUGUCACGUCGGUUGUGAAAGCCCGGGGCUUAACCCCGGGUCUGCAGUCGAUACGGGCAGGCUAGAGUUCGGUAGGGGAGAUCGGAAUUCCUGGUGUAGCGGUGAAAUGCGCAGAUAUCAGGAGGAACACCGGUGGCGAAGGCGGGAUCUCUGGGCCGAUACUGACGCUGAGGAGCGAAAGCGUGGGGAGCGAACAGGAUUAGAUACCCUGGUAGUCCACGCCGUAAACGGUGGGCACUAGGUGUGGGCAACAUUCCACGUUGUCCGUGCCGCAGCUAACGCAUUAAGUGCCUCCGCCUGGGGAGUACGGCCGCAAGGCUAAAACUCAAAGGAUUUGACGGGGGCCCGCACAAGCGGCGGAGCAUGUUGGCUUAAUUCGGACGCAACGCGAAGAACCUUACCAGGCUUGACAUACCACUGGAAACGGCCAGAGUGGGCGC